CUACGGGCGGCACCAGUGGGGAAUAUUGCACAAUGGAGGAAACUCUGAUGCAGCAACGCCGCGUGGAGGAUGACACUUUUCGGAGCGUAAACUCCUUUUAUAUAGGAAGAAGAUGGCGGUACUAUAUGAAUAAGCGCCGGCUAACUCCGUGCCAGCAGCCGCGGUAAUACGGAGGGCGCAAGCGUUACUCGGAAUCACUGGGCGUAAAGAGCGUGUAGGCGGAUUAAAAAGUCAGAAGUGAAAUCCUAUAGCUUAACUAUAGAACUGCUUCUGAAACUCUUAAUCUAGAAUAUGGGAGAGGUAGAUGGAAUUUCUGGUGUAGGGGUAAAAUCCGUAGAGAUCAGAAGGAAUACCGAUUGCGGAGGCGAUCUACUAGAACAUUAUUGACGCUGAGACGCGAAAGCGUGGGGAGCAAACAGGAUUAGAUACCCUAGUAGUC
rnacentral:rRNA from 1 species